AUUUUUUUUUUUUUUUUUAAUAACUAUUCGACAAGGCUUGUAAGGUUCAAAUGUGUAAAUGCACCAAUAAAAAGAGUUGUAUACUUUGUAGUUCCAGAGUGAAUCAUGAAUCAUCAGUAACCUUUUGUUCUGCAUAAAAAUAGGGAAAAAAAAAUAAUAAAAGUAGGGAAUCAUAUUUAACGUUGUAGGAACAGCUAACAGGGAGAUGCAACGUGCUUGAGACAGAAAUGAUGAAUGAUAGCUUCCAUGGUGUUGUGAAUUACUGAUGGGCAGUCCUGUGCACUGUUGCCGUUGUUUUAGCUUAUCUUUGGUGAGGAUGUAAACCUCUGUACUUCCAUUCCAUGGGCUAAAGAAAAGGCCUGGCUUCUGAUCUUUAUUUUUUAUUAAAAAAACAUAUUUCUUCAAUUAAUUAGUGAAAACAUUUCAAGUUCGUGUUUGGACUCCCUUAGCUUGAAUCUUCUAGCUCGUGUAUAUAAACCUGAAUUAGGAGUAAAGAAAAAAAAAU
rnacentral:misc_RNA from 1 species